AGGACGAACGCUGGCGGCGUGCUUAACACAUGCAAGUCGAGCGGAAAGGCCCUUCGGGGUACUCGAGCGGCGAACGGGUGAGUAACACGUGAGUAACCUGCCCCUAGCUCCGGGAUAGCUCCGGGAAACCGGAAUUAAUACCGGAUGUGAUCACGGCCGACAUCGGCCACGAUGGAAAGAUUUAUCGGCUAGGGAUGGGCCCGCGGCCUAUCAGCUUGUUGGUGGGUAAUGGCCCACCAAGGCAACGACGGGUA
rnacentral:rRNA from 1 species